rnacentral:lncRNA from 1 species
AGUACCUGGAUCGGCAACUCCUCGAUGUUUGUGACCACCGCUAGGUGGCAGUGGUGUCGAGCGCUAAGGACGCGGGGGAGCGGGUGCUAUUCAAAACAAUGGUCGGCGUCGCGUCGUAGGAUCGUUUGCCUUGUUUUUUGAAAAGUUAAGCCCCUUUGGAGCAGAUUGGAAGGUUUCAGAAGAUGGAGGAAGAUGGCAAGAUCAAAGAGAUGGGUUCAGUUUCCACGGUGUGCUGACUUGAAUUGGCAUCCUGUGAUUUGUGAUGUGAAUUAUGAUGCACGCACUCGCAGGUGCACGCCCACUGCGGACACGUGUGACGUGACGGCAGCAGGCAGCCGGGGUGUGAACUGUGAACUGGCUCGGCCGAAAAUGUUUAAGGUAUUACAGCGUUUGUAACUGACUAACAUACCCACUACGGGCAUACCCAUUGAGCGGAUAAUGCGUUCGUGUGCAUCGUGUUUGCAUUUAUUCCCGAUAUACUCUGGUGGUAGGUGUGAAUUGGAAACCAGCUUGGUGCUACGACACCGUUUAGUAGGCAUGUGGCACGUCGUUUCUCGAAACCUACCUAUCAGUCUAUGCAAUAAUAUGCAUUGUAUACAUUGUGUGUCAUCGUUCACCUUAGUUGUCAUUGAACCUGUGUUAAAUUCUGAACUUCAGGCCGAGACAGACUAUUUCCACAGUCAGGAAAU